AUGGACAAGAAAUGCAGCAGAGAGGAGUCGAGCUGGCUGGAGGUUGAGGAGGCCUCGCCUUGCACAGGGAAGAAGGCGGACAAGGCGUCCAUCGCCAACCCCAGGCGAUGGAGCUCUGGGGCGAAUGCCGUGGCGGUGGCCUUGAUCAUGACAAUCCCGCCCAUCCUUUUCAUCUUCAGUGGCCACCUCGACGCGCCGGCGGUGUGGAUCAAAUCUACCGUGGCCGGAUUAGGAGCGCGAGGAGCAGAAUCAUCCAAGAAGAAAGACGUGCUUCUGGGGGGCCUUCUCCUUUCAGGAUUCGACCAACAAUCAUGCGCCAGCCGCUACCAGUCCGUGUACUACCGCAAGAACAUGACACGCUCGCCGACGCCGUAUCUCAUCGACCGGCUGCGGCGGCAGGAGGCGCUGCAGCGGCGCUGCGGUCCGGGCACCGACGCGUACCGGAGAGCCUCCGACAGGCUGAAAUCCGGGCAGAAAAACGUCGACACCGUCGACGGCUGCAGCUACCUCGUGCUGCUGUCUUACCGGGGCCUCGGCAACCGGAUACUCGCCGCGGCCUCGGCCUUCCUCUACGCCAUGCUAACCGACCGCGUGCUGCUCGUCGACCGGGGAAAGACCAUGGGCGACCUCUUCUGCGAGCCGUUCCCGGGGACGACGUGGCUGCUGCCCCUCGACUUCCCGCUCCAGGGCUACAAGGACCUGGGCGAGGACGCGGCGGAGAGCUACGGCAACGUGACGACGCUGCGCAACGAGACCGGCGAGUCGUCGGAGCACCGCUUCGUGUACAUGCACCUCGACCACGCCGCGUCCGUCGAGAACAAGCUCGCCUACUGCGACGACCACCGGCAGUUCCUCCACCGGGUCCAGUGGGUGGUCAUGAGGACGGACGGCUACAUUGCGCCAGUCCUCUUCCUCAACCCGGCGUACAAGCAGGAGCUCCACCGGAUGUUCCCCCGGAAAGACUCCGUCUUCUACAUCGUCUCGAGGUAUCUUCUCCACCCGACCAACGACGUCUGGGGCAUGGUCACCCGGUUCUACGACUCCUACCUCAAGGGCGCCGACGAGCGGCUGGGCAUUCAGAUCAGGGUCUUUGUCAAGGACGACAAGCCGGUCCAGCACAUCUUGGAUCAGAUCCUCGCGUGCACCUCUCAAGAGCGUCUCCUGCCGGGGGUGCUGCCGAGCGUGGGAGGAUCACGAUCAGGAGAAGCACUACGCCCGCCGCCGACGACGACGGCCGGCGCGCGGUCCAAGGCCGUCCUCGUGACGGGCCUCAACGGGUGGUACCACGACAGCAUCCGGGAGAUGUACUGGCGGUCGGCGAGCGCGAACGGGGAGGUGGUGAGCGUGCACCAGCCGAGCCGCGAGGAGCACCAGCGUAUGUUCCACCGGAUGCAAGACAUGAAGGCGCUGGCGGAGAUGUACCUGCUGAGCAUGACCGACAAGAUCGUCACCAGCGGCUGGUCCACGUUCGGGUACGUCGGCACCGCUCUCGGCGGGCUCACGCCAUACAUCAUGAUCAAGCCGGAGAACGAGGAGGUGCCCGACCCGCCGUGCAAACGGGCCAUGUCCAUGGAGCCGUGUGCUCAGGGGCCGCCGUACUUCGAGUGCACCAGGAAAGAGGUCGACAAACUCCUCGACACGGGUAAUCUGGUGCCUCAUGUCCGGGCCUGCGAAGACAUGUCUUGGGGUCUGAAGCUCACUGAGCCGAUCUCCGAGAAGGAUGUGUAG
rnacentral:rRNA from 1 species